UUCCGCGAAGAACUCCGCCAGCCGCAGCUGUAAAACUUUUCAAAAUGUCCCCGCACGUGGUCCACAUUCGCAUUCAAUAUUCAAGAGUCUCAGCAAAUUACUUGAACCCUUUUCAUGGCCCGUCGGAUGCCCCAGAAGGCUUUAAGUCAUUUGUCAAAAUGCGUAAAAAACAGCUAACGGGGGCAGGACGGGCAGCAGUUUCACUUUCACACUUUCUUACUUAUGCAAAUGUUGUCAUCUCAUUUGCUCGUCAGAGACAACAGAAACGGAUAAAAGAAGGAUAAAAUACAUAAUACAAUAUCAGAGGUCCUGCCUGGCGGCAAGGACACACACCAAGCACAUGGCCUGUCAUCUUUGUCGCACAUUCGGAUCCUGUGACCCCGUCUGAUUAAAUUACUCAAAUUUUUCGCAAGGGCGACAUGCGGUGACAGAUCAUUGAAUCGAAAACUAACAUCCAUCCUGGUGUGUAAGCAAAAAUCACAAAAAUGUCAAACAAAAAAAUCAAUUUGCGAACACAAAACGUAAAAUAACUCGAUACUAAAUAAAUGCUAAAGGUCACUAUAAUUUACCUGUCUUACCUGA